rnacentral:rRNA from 1 species
UACGGAGGGGGCUAGCGUUGUUCGGAAUUACUGGGCGUAAAGCGCGCGUAGGCGGAUAUUCGAGUCGGGGGUGAAAUCCCGGGGCUCAACCCCGGAACUGCCUCCGAUACUGGAUGUCUAGAGGACGGGAGAGGCGAGUGGAAUGCCGAGUGUAGAGGUGAAAUUCGUAGAUAUUCGGCGGAACACCCGUGGCGAAGGCGGCUCGCUGGUCCGUUUCUGACGCUGAGGCGCGAAAGCGUGGGGAGCAAACAGG